UACAGAGGGGGCAAGCGUUGUUCGGAAUUACUGGGCGUAAAGGGCGCGUAGGCGGCCUGCUAAGUCGAACGUGAAAUCCCCGGGCUCAACCCGGGAACUGCGUCCGAUACUGGUAGGCUUGAAUUCGGGAGAGGGAUGCGGAAUUCCAGGUGUAGCGGUGAAAUGCGUAGAUAUCUGGAGGAACACCGGUGGCGAAGGCGGCAUCCUGGACCGGCAUUGACGCUGAGGCGCGAAAGCCAGGGGAGCAAACGGG
rnacentral:rRNA from 1 species